GUUAACAUAGUUUAAAAAAAAAAAAAAAAUAUCAGACUGUGAACCUGAAGAUAGGAUACAAACAUCCUUGUUUACC
rnacentral:tRNA from 1 species